rnacentral:rRNA from 1 species
GAACGAGGAUAUAUCCUUCGGGAUGUAAGCCGAGUGGCACAAGGGUGAGCAAUGCAUAGAUUACCUACCUUUAGGAUAAGGGCAACUUUGUGAAAACGGAGCUAAUACUUAAUAAUACAAAAGAAAAUAAUUUUCUUUUGUCAAAGGGAGGGUAGCAAUACCUUUCGCCUAGAGAGGGGUUUAUGUCCUAUCAGCUUGUUGGUGGGGUAAUAGCCCACCAAGGCGAAGACGGGUAGCCGGUUUAAGAGGAUGGUCGGCCACACUGGGACUGAGACACUGCCCAGACUUCUACGGAAGGCUGCAGUCGAGAAUCUUUCGCAAUGCCCGAAAGGGUGACGAAGCGACGCCGCGUGGGUGAAGAAGGCCUUCGGGUUGUAAAGCCCUGUCAGGAGUUAUGAAAUGUAAGUGCGCUAAUAUCGUGCUUAUUUGACAAAGGCUCCAAAGGAAGCCACGGCUAACUCUGUGCCAGCAGCCGCGGUAAUACAGAGGUGGCGAGCGUUGUUCGGAAUUAUUGGGCGUAAAGAGCACGUAGGUGGGUUUGCAAGUCAGAUGUGAAAGCCUUCUGUUCAACGGAAGAAUUGCAUCUGAAACUGCUAAUCUUGAGUAUAGGAGGGGAGAAUGGAACUUCUGGUGGAGCGGUGAAAUGCGUAGAUAUCAGAAGGAACGCCGGCGGCGAAAGCGAUUCUCUGGCCUAUUACUGACACUCAGUGUGCGAAAGCUAGGGGAGCAAACGGGAUUAGAUACCCCGGUAGUCCUAGCCGUAAACGAUGGGCACUAAGUAGAGGGAAUUACCUAUAUUCUCUCUGCCGUAGCUAACGCAUUAAGUGCCCCGCCUGGGGAGUACGGCCGCAAGGCUAAAACUCAAAAGAAUUGACGGGGGCUCGCACAAGCGGUGGAGCAUGUGGCUUAAUUCGAUGCAACGCGAAAAACCUUACCGGGGCUUGACAUGAUAGAAGUAGGAACCUGAAAGGGGGACGAACGGUAUCCAGUCCGUAGCUAUCACAGGUGUUGCAUGGCUGUCGUCAGCUCGUGUCGUGAGACGUUGGGUUAAGUCCCCUAACGAGCGAAACCCUUGUUUUUAGUUACCAGCGGGUUAUGCCGGGUACUCUAGAAAGACUGCCGUCGUCAAGACGGAGGAAGGUGGGGAUGACGUCAAGUCAUCAUGGCCCUUAUGCCCCGGGCUGCACACGUGCUACAAUGGUCGGUACAGACGGAAGCGAAGCCGAGAGGUGAAGCGAAUCCUAAAAAGCCGAUCUCAGUUCGGAUUGGAGGCUGAAAUUCGCCUCCAUGAAGUUGGAAUCGCUAGUAAUCGCGGAUCAGCAAUGUCGCGGUGAAUAUGUUCCCGAGCCUUGUACACACCGCCCGUCAAGCCACCCAAGCAGGAUGCACCCGAAAACAUUAUAUCUAACCAGGGCAACUUGGAGGAAAAUGUUGAAGGAGUGUUUUGUGAGGAGGACU